rnacentral:rRNA from 1 species
UUGAACGCUGGCGGCAUGCUUUACACAUGCAAGUCGAACGGUAACAGGGAGCUUGCUCCGCUGACGAGUGGCGAACGGGUGAGUAAUGCAUCGGAACGUACCCAGUCGUGGGGGAUAACGUAGCGAAAGUUACGCUAAUACCGCAUACGUCCUGAGGGAGAAAGCGGGGGACCGAAAGGCCUCGCGCGAUUGGAGCGGCCGAUGUCGGAUUAGCUAGUUGGUAGGGUAAAGGCCUACCAAGGCAACGAUCCGUAGCGGGUCUGAGAGGAUGAUCCGCCACACUGGGACUGAGACACGGCCCAGACUCCUACGGGAGGCAGCAGUGGGGAAUUUUGGACAAUGGGCGAAAGCCUGAUCCAGCCAUGCCGCGUGAGUGAAGAAGGCCUUCGGGUUGUAAAGCUCUUUCAGGUGGAAAGAAAACGCAUAGGUUAAUACCUUGUGCGGAUGACGGUACCAUCAGAAGAAGCACCGGCUAACUACGU